AAUCUCUCCUUUUGAUGUUGUUGUGCGUGCUAGUAAAAUAUUGCAUUCAGUGGUAUGGAAAUCAACCUGCAUGUUAGGUCUGCUGUUGUCUUAGUUAGGUAUUCACCGUUUCCCAUUCAGAUCUGGAUCUUUUGGUAGUUGGGUCUCCACCUUGCUAAGAAAGCAGCACCAGGUGUUGCCAGGCAAAGAGAGAAGAAAUAAGCAGCACUGUUGCAGUACAUCUGUCCCUUUGUCCAUAAGAAUCUCAAUUAUUUUUUCUUUCUCCUUUGAUGGGCCUUCAGAGAAAGGGAAAGUUAGGUGUAGUUUUAGUUUAGGUUGAUGAUUCUUUUACCUGCUAUCCGGACAACCAACAUCCAUUGCUCUAGCGGGAAAAAAAAAGCCCAAACUAAAAGCUGUCCUUCGAUGGGCCUGGUGCUCGAACAACACUACACAUUUGAGCUCUAAAAUCAGUCCCGAUGCAAUUGAGCUCUAGGAUCAACUUCGCAGUCAAUUUGCUUUGCAGUCAAGAUUCAAGCAACGCUCAACUCUGUUUCAGGGACUCCAUGCUUUGCAACAGCAAAUGAUAGCAGCGGUCACAACCAUGUGCUGAGAAAUGUUUAUUUUUCUUAAUUGGCUAUAGUUUCACUCUGGAUCACAUGCCCAUGCAUUGCGUAGGAACUAUUCCAAGCACUUCUGGCCCAGCCAAGCUUUCAACUGAUUCUGGUUGUCGCUGACGAAACGGAACUGCAUUUCCCCGUUUGUCUGGUGUUUAUAAUCAUGAAUCUCCUCGACUGACAUGAUGCCUUGUUUGAUGGAGAUGGUCCCUGUGAGAUGGACAACUUGGGGACAAGUGGCCUACUGUUGCCUCCUAGCAUUUCCGCAUCACUUGUGCGAGGAGUUGGAGGUGCAUUGCAUUCUUUGAAACGGAAGCAACUGAUAUGGUGAUCAUUGGUUAGCCCCGCUGCCUGCAUGAAGGAAUAUACAACUGUCGGGCCCACACCUCGGAAUCCCCUUCGCAGCAUGUCUUUGCUGAUCAUAUCUGCCUUGGGGCUCUUGACAGGGACUUGCCUUGGAUAUCUGAAUUUGCUUACCAUUGGUUUGUCGUACAGAAAACCCCAACAGUACUGAUUGAAGGAUCCAAACUCAUCUGCAAUCUGCAUUGGUUUAACAAAGCCUUGUAAAUAAGUUUGUGGGCAAAACACAUAUCUCACAGGAGCACCAAAUAGAUGGUGGUAAAUCAGCCAUUUUGAACCACAAACCUUGAUUAUCUGGCGAGCAUUUUCCAGGACUGCUCGCAGCUUUUGCUCCGACAAAAGAGAGGUAGCAAUGCUUCCUGGCGCUACGAGCUUCUUCUCGUUUAUUUUGGCGAUAGCAAGAGGGUCAAAGUCCAUGAAAAUUUCCCUGGAAUAUAUGGCCAUGAAAGUUCAGCCAAUGCACCACAUAGUACAAGUAACUCGAACAACCUCCUGUGAAAUGGUCAUGAUUAGACAUCAUCAACUGUUCAUUUCCUUCUAAGUUUCCAGAAUACAAACAAUAAGGAUGAAAGAGUCUAUGAAUUCACAUUUUCCACACCUGUCAUCGUGAACUGGAACCCCCCAUUCCUCAUCAUGGAAAGUGACAUAGUAAGGAUCUGAGCACAAUAAUGGGUACAUCAGUGGAAAUUCGACAAGUCAGCUCUCUCAUCACAAAUGAUUCACAGAGUUAAGAAUACUUCAUCUGUAAGGCAAAGGAAAAGCACCGGGCAACCAUACUACCAUAUCAUGUGACAACACAAUAUCAAGUAAAGCAAAGCAUUGCAAAUGAAGCUAUGGUUUUCUUGGGGUAUAGAUGAAGCAAAGUUCCAGUAGAACGAUUACUGCACAUUCUGCAGAACACUAGAAAUCGAUUCUUGAAGUGAUGGCAAGGUGAUCAGAUGCUAAUGUAAAGGAUCACCCAAUCUCUUCAAGGGAGUAAUAAGAACAAAAAGGCGAUCUAAAGGUGAAGAACAAAAAGGCAAUCUAAAGCACAAAUGAUAGAAACUAAAAUCAAUCAAGCUAUCAGGAAGCAGGAACUCACCGGUGGUCGGAGUGACCCAGGCGCAUCUCCUCUUCCCUUGGACGACAUCCUCCGGCGUCACCGGAGCAACAACGACAACCUCCGGU